CUGAGAAUUUUCUCUGCACAGACUGGAUACUCCCUGCUGUAGCAGUACAGAAAUCUUAGGGGGCAGUUUAUUUACAACAGAAUUCAUCAGGACAACCGCAGAGUAGGAGUUAUUUGACUCACGCCCUCACAGUGCGAACGUACUGAGAGCCAGCUGGCUUACCGACAGUGCAACCCUGUCUACUCUGAAAGAUGGGCACGAACUGCACUUCAGCACAGUUUGGCAGAUUCGACCCACAGGUGUUGCAUGGGUGCCCUAGAUUCCCCGCCCCGCCUCCUCAUGGUCCACACAGCGUUAAUCUACCCCUGGACUUUAACUGCAGAUUGCUAGUAAGCGAACACAAACUUUUUCAUUAAGUCUGACAAGAAAAGGAAACACUGUAUAGCUACGAUUCUCUUCAAUGCGCCGGAGAAUUUUGCUCAAGAAAUGGCUACAGGAGACUUUGCCUCAAGACAGUUUGAGAAGUUAACUGAAAUAUCAAAGCAGACUUUUGGGGUUUUACAUGAGGAAUGUAAACUGAAUUAAGUCAGUAUUUAUUUGUUGGAAUACAUACUGCAAUAACUGAGAAUGUGUAUGGCCUGUGUCAUGGAUUCUACUUUGGAAAUGGCUAGUGGAGCGGACUCGCUGAACCAGGUGCAAAAUGAAAACUCAAUGUUUAUGGAAAUCCCAUUGGUUUUACAGUGAUGCCUCACUAGACAGUUACCCUGCAUGACAGUUUUUUCACUAGACAUUGGCUC